rnacentral:tRNA from 1 species
GGCCAAAUAGCUUAGUCGUUAAAGCACUUGCUUUGUAAGUGUGAGGAACUGAGUUCGAUCCCCAGGGCCU